rnacentral:tmRNA from 1 species
GGGGACGUUUUGGAUUUGACAGGACGUUCGGUUGAGAUAGGUUGCGAGUCCGAGCGCUGUUCUCGGUCAUCAACGAGCACACUAAAUUAAAUGCUAACAACAAUGUAAUCAAAGCUGACUUCUCUAGAGCUUAUGCUUUAGCUGCUUAGUCGCUUUUCGUAGCUACUCAUAUUUCCCAGCUUGCCGGAGAUAUGGGUCCAUUAUGCAAGCGGCAGUGCAUUGAUAACGGUAGAUGCAUCAAGAAAACCGUUAAAGGUUAGUGUUUCCUCAAAAAACACUUUGGAUUAUUAAUAAAGGUUUUGAUAUUCCCCAAUAAUCCGAGCUAAUUAAUAUCUACACUCGUAGAGAUUUAUCAAGAUCCGUUUUGGACAGGGGUUCGACUCCCCUCGUCUCCA